UACAUAGGGAGCAAGCGUUAUCCGGAAUGAUUGGGCGUAAAGCGUCUGUAGGUGGUUCAAAAAGUCUACUGUCAAAUACGUUGGCUCAACCAACGGCAGGCAUUAGAGUACUAUUGAACUAGAGUAUGGUAGAGGUAGAGGGAAUCCCUAGCGUAACAGUGAAAUGUGUAGAUUUUAGGGAGAACACCAGCGGCGAAGGCGCUCUACUGGGCCAUUACUGACACUGAGAGACGAAAGCUAAGGGAGCGAAAGGG
rnacentral:rRNA from 2 species